rnacentral:rRNA from 1 species
UACGUAGGGUCCGAGCGUUGUCCGGAAUUACUGGGCGUAAAGAGCUCGUAGGUGGUUUGUCGCGUCGACUGUGAAAACCCGAGGCUUAACCUCGGGCCUGCAGUCGAUACGGGCAGACUAGAGUACUGCAGGGGAGACUGGAAUUCCUGGUGUAGCGGUGAAAUGCGCAGAUAUCGGGAGGAACACCGGUGGCGAAGGCAGCUCACUGGGACGGUAUUGACGCUGAGACGCGAAAGCGUGGGGAGCAAACAGG